AUUGCAAUUCCACCUAAUCCCUAUUAGGGAUUGAAAC
rfam:Nostoc calcicola FACHB-389 FACHB-389_Scaffold_22, whole genome shotgun sequence.